rnacentral:rRNA from 1 species
UAGUGGCGAACGGGUGAGUAACACGUGGGCAAUCUGCCCUUCACUCUGGGACAAGCCCUGGAAACGGGGUCUAAUACCGGAUAACACUGCGGAUCUCAUGGUCUGCGGUUAAAAGCUCCGGCGGUGAAGGAUGAGCCCGCGGCCUAUCAGCUUGUUGGUGAGGUAAUGGCUCACCAAGGCGACGACGGGUAGCCGGCCUGAGAGGGCGACCGGCCACACUGGGACUGAGACACGGCCCAGACUCCUACGGGAGGCAGCAGUGGGGAAUAUUGCACAAUGGGCGAAAGCCUGAUGCAGCGACGCCGCGUGAGGGAUGACGGCCUUCGGGUUGUAAACCUCUUUCAGCAGGGAAGAAGCGAAAGUGACGGUACCUGCAGAAGAAGCGCCGGCUAACUACGUGCCAGCAGCCGCGGUAAUACGUAGGGCGCAAGCGUUGUCCGGAAUUAUUGGGCGUAAAGAGCUCGUAGGCGGCUUGUCACGUCGAUUGUGAAAGCUCGGGGCUUAACUCCGAGUCUGCAGUCGAUACGGGCUAGCUAGAGUGUGGUAGGGGAGAUCGGNAAUUCCU